GUGCCUAGCCCUCUUCAUCUCUAUUGAUGACUCAUAUACCUACCUUGACCGUCAGGUCCCUUAUCCCUACAGGAGGCCUAUGAAAGCUGGCAUCUGGUGCAUGAAGGUAGGGGUUCCCAUCCAAUGGACAAAGUCCACAGGAACUGUUGACAGGUAUUAACAUUUGGAACAAUGGGGCUGAGUCAGAACUUCGUAUCAGGUGCAACAUCAAGUCUAUUCAUUUAUUUUAUUUUUGUUGGAGCACAGAGGGUGUUGUAGCAAAGGGAAGAAGAACACAGAUGGCAUGUUUUGCAAUAUUUGGGUAUCUUUGCAAUGGGCUCCUCCAAAAAUCAUUAAUUAUUUCAUCUUGGAGAGCUCACCUUCCAGUUUUUCAGGAUCCGGAGGCUGAAAUUAUUCAUCUUCACUCUGAACUAUUCAACUGUUUGUUUGUUCAAGUCCGUAAGAUCGGCUUCUUGUUAAAACUGCCUUCUCUCGGAUACAUCGAUGAGAAAAGGUCACACCCUCUACCCAUUGGGCAUUUGAGCACAGAGUUACAAUGCAGAUUCUCUUGGCAAGCCUCCAAAUGAGCUUUCUGGAACUUCUCUUUCCAACCAUUCAUACAGGCUUUUCCAGAUCACAGAUGAAAACCUCUUACUUCCUUUGUCACUCCCAUAGACUAAAGCUCCUUCUUUGUGAAGAUGACUCAAGGAGGGAGAGGAGGAGAAGCCACAGCCCAUCAAUGUCUCUGGGCAUCACACCCUACUUGGCUGGACUCCAGGACGUCUUAUGGAUGCUUUACGGUGAAGCUAAUGCUAACUGAAGGAAUGCCCCUUGUAUUUUCCUACAAAAUCCCCAGCACUUAUUACCUCUCCAGUCACCAUCGGAAGUGCUUACCAUUCUUUUUGCACUGAUUUGUCAUCAAGGUUGACAGAAGCACCUUUUUUGCCUUUUAUGAAUGAACUCAUCCUCCUCCUGUCCUACCUUAGACGUCCUUAGAUGCCUUAUAACUCAUUGCCAGGCUUCCACCAUCAAUUGUACCGAAGAUGUCCCUCUUUAACUAGCCGUUUGAUUGUGCUCCUGCCUCCUCAGAACCUGUCAGAAGACUUUUAUUUUCUACUCUCAGCAAACGACACUUAGGAUCACAGGCCCUUCACUCAAGCUGGUUAUCAUUACGCAUCCAUUGCUUGCUUUUUUCUCCCAUCUGUUAGUACCAAACACCCUGCCUUCAUGAAAUCCUCUUCUUUAUUUUAAAAACAGUUAAAUCAAUAAAUAGGAUAAGAAAUAGCUCUUCUCUAUAGCAGAAUGCUGAUUAAUAAACGAGGGAGGAAUGAUUGAAGUAGAAAAUUACCACUUGGCAAACACCACAGUAAUAACUAUUGUAGGCAAGAAUCAAGGGUGGAUAAUAAAAUUAAUGGGCAUAAGUAUAAUGAGAAACAGAAUAUUUGCACAACCUCAGUGUUUUCCCAUAAGAAGCUCAUUCAUUACAAAAGGGAAAAUGGUAGCCUUUCUGUGGAGAAACUCGGGUGCCACCAGAACCAAAUGAUGAAAAUGAACGCCACCCAGAAUGAGACACGCUGACAUUAUGUGCUUGAUAGGGGCACAACACGCUUCAGUGGAAUUCUUGCCAAAAGAGGACACAAUGCAAAUCUAAUCAAGAGGAUACAUCAGAAAGAUUCCAACUGAGGAAUAUUCUAGAAAAUAAUGGGGCAGUGCUCUUCAGAAGUGCCAAGGUCAUGAAAGGCAAAGAAAGACUGAUGAACAGAUUCAGAUUACAAGUAAGGAAACAUGACAACUAAAUACAAUGUGUGGUCCUGUAUUGUAUCCUAGAUCAGACAAUGGCUGUUAAUGGAACAGUUGGUGAAAUCUGAAUGUCUGUAGACCAGUUAAUAGUAUGGUAACCAUGUUAACUUUCUGGUUUUGAUCAUUGUUCUGUGGUUAUGUAGGAUGUUAACCUAUGAAGAUGAGUGUAUACAAUGGAAUAUUACUCAACCAUCAAAAUUACGAAAUCUUGCCACUUGCAAUGACAUGGAUGGAGCUAGAAUGUAUUAUGCUAAGCAAAACAACUCAGUCAGAGAAAGACAAAUACCAUAUGAUUUCACUCACUUGGAAUUUAAGAAACAAAACAGAUGAACAUAGGAGAAAGAAAAAAAGAGGGAGGCAAGCCAUAAGAAAGACUCUUAACUAUAGAGAACAAACCAAGGGUCAAUGGAAGAAGGUAGGUGGGAGGAUGGUCUAAAUGGGUGAUGGGUAUGAAGGGGGCCACUUGUUGUAAUGAGCACUGGGUGUUCUAUGUAACUGAGGAAUCACUAAAUCCUACUCCUCAAACCAACAUUACACUAUAUGUUAACGAACUAGAAUUUAAGUAAAAACCUGAAACAGGAACAAAACAAUUUUUUAAUGAAGAAAGAUUUAGUGAAAGACAUAGGAAUUGUUUUGCUGUAUUUGCAACUUUUUUUGGAAGUCAGAAAUUAUUGACGAUUAAAGGUUAAACAUGUUUUUAAACUUUCUCUAACAACCAAUUUAAGUGUGAUUUCCCUAAAACCUGCUAUGUAAACUUUAGGCAGUCAGAUCACAUGCACAACCACUGUGGCAGAGUGUACAUUCAGGCUUGCUAGUGAGUGAAGAGCUAUUAGUUCGACAAACAUUUAUUGAGCACCUACUAUGCCCCAGUACUUACAUUAGGUACUGGGACUUCAUGGUUGAGUGCAUUCAGUUAUGCUUAUAUGCCCUGUUUCGCUGCUUAUACGGAAAACUCCUAAAAGAUUAAAUUAGUAUUUCUUUGUACGUUUCCACAAGAUGCCUGGAACAGUGCCAUUUACAUAGGAGCCCUUUGGUAAAAACAUCUUCAAUAACUGGAUGGCUAUUUCUGUUAUUCCUUUCUGCCCGUAAACAUGGAGGGUUGGUUACCAACUGAUCUCAUUGCCCACUUAAAGGCAGGCUCUACCCGGCCGUCUCCCUGUAUCAAGCUGUCCUGGCUGUUUCUCUGUACCGUAAGCCUCUGGUUUUAGCCGUGUUUCCACCAGUGUCUUCUUUUUGCUCUCUCUUUCUGCUGAUAGCUCCGUGGGAGCACGUCUUUGUCCCUGUGAUACCAGGGGCUGUGGAAACACCGAUGAAAAGAUUUGCCGCAACCGUUGGCAAAUUGCUUGACCUUGUGCCUCCUUUGCUCAGCCUCUAAAAUGGGAAUCCUGAUAAAGAUUUGUCAAGGGCUGUGACAUCCUUCUUUCCCAAGUCGAAGUGCAAAUUAUCGCUAAUU